GGAGACGACGUUGAAAACAUUGGAAAAACUGCUGACUCUUAAUCAGCGGGUCCUUGGUUCGAGCCCAAGUGCGUCCACCA
rnacentral:tRNA from 1 species